AUGAGCUUUGCCUAGCCAGUCCUGCCAGCUGCUAGCCUGAAAUGAAGUUACAUCCAAGUCAUUAACUCCCAAAAGGGAUGCUACAGAGACCUAGCACAUGGAGGCGAACGGCUUGACCUAUUAGACAAUGCUACCAUUUCAAGAAUCCAAGAUGUCUGGAGCAGAGGGCACUGAUGGUGAUUGCUUCUGAAGGUUUUGCUUGGAUUGUUCUCUAAUCAAUAUUAAAGCAGCAUGUCUCACUCAA